rnacentral:rRNA from 1 species
UACGAAGGGGGCUAGCGUUGCUCGGAAUUACUGGGCGUAAAGCGCACGUAGGCGGCUUUCUAAGUCGGGGGUGAAAUCCUGGAGCUCAACUCCAGAACUGCCUUCGAUACUGGAGAGCUCGAGUCCGGGAGAGGUGAGUGGAACUGCGAGUGUAGAGGUGAAAUGCGUAGAUAUCCGGAGGAACACCGGUGGCGAAGGCGGCUUCCUGGACCGACACUGACGCUGAGGCGCGAAAGCUAGGGGAGCAAACGGG